rnacentral:lncRNA from 1 species
UUGAAAGGAAGCUAGCAUCUUUGGUUGAAAAAAAUGAAGGUGUUCCUGCUGAAGUAAUUUCUACUUGAUUUCAAUUUGCCUAUAAAACUUGUUGACUGGUGCUCAACAAGUUGGGUUUUUGUAGCUUGAAUUGGCGUAUAAUUUAGGUUCGCUUUUUGCAUGUGAGUGUUUUAAUGGAUUGGAUGUUCUACCUGUAUGUUUGUCAAAUCUCAAUCAUGUUUUUGAGAUGAGUUGUGCAGUAGUGUUGGUUGAAAUUAAUAUGUUAUUUAUUCAUUGAAAGCAUAUUGUUUCCCGACGGUGAGUAUGUGACCAAAUUAUAAUUUGUUGCAAUUUUGUCUUGACAAUUUAUGUUUCUUUCUCUUUUUCUUUUCAAGUUGUACAAGGAGAAGAAAAGCCGCACAACUCGUUUCCCUGUGAAGAACAAAUUUGAGGUUAACAGUUACACAAUGUGUUUUAGCUGGGUUUGAUGGGUUUGAUUUUGUUUGGUGGGUAAUGCUUGAUUUUUAUCAUUGUGAUAAUUGUGAUGAUGGGAUGGAUAUGGAGCUUAAUUUUGCUACUGGUUUGGCCAAUUUUGGAUUUUGGUUUUUCUUACUUUAAAACAAAAAUUGUUUCUUCACUAAGUGUAGUUCAAUCUGAUAAAACUGACAAUGCAAAAUGUUUCACAAAUGUUUAAUUUCAUAAUGGGUAAUUUCAAACUUUUGUGAAUGAGGUCUGCAUUGGAAUUGUAAUUAAUCAAGCCUUGUGUUUGAUAUACUCAUCACAGGUAGGAAGCUUUUUUUUUUAUUUUAAAUUUCGGGUAUCCAUCCCAUUUAUGAACUUCCGCCAUAAGUAAUUAGGUUAAUGAAUCUAAACUUCAUGCCUUUGAAUAUUCAUCCCGUAAAAUCUGUGUACUUUUGUUGCAGUGAGUUCUGUAGCAUGGUAAGGAAGAUUUUUAUCUAUACAAUAGAGGAAAUCAAGAGGUUGUCACCCAAGAUAAAAUUUACACUCAAUGAAGAGGUCAAACCAGGAAAGCCAGAUUCUGAAGCAGCAAUCAACAUCGAAGACCAGUCAUCCAUUGUGGGACCUGCAUACUGAUCUGCCCCGUUGUCUCUAGCUAUAUAAUGAAAAAUUGGAAAAAAAAUUGGAAAAUGGAACUUGAUUGUCACAUGAGAUUCUGUCUGCUAGGAUGAUGCUAUCUAUGACAAAGUACACAUGCUGGAAGAAUUGGUUGAGUUUCCCUGCAUGCUAAGAUGGAGGGGGGCAGUGGCCUGUAAUGCGCAUGCAAUCUGGAGAGUCACUACUCGUGACAGGGUUUGGGUGUUAUGGUUAUUGGUUGUCUAGUUUUGCCAAGAGGAUCUCAUAGUGCUUGCUUGUUUGGGCGAAUUGAGUCAGUGGUAGUCCUACUGGAGCAGCUCAAGUCCUCUGAUUAUAUUGAUCAACAAGAAUACGAUGCCUGCAAAUGAAAUAAAGGAGCUUUUCUGGUAAUGAACUUUACUUUUGGACACACAAAUGCGCAAUGAACUUUACUGUCUUUGAUGACAUUUUGUGUUAUUUGUUUGAUAGGAAGGUGAUGCUGCUGUUGCCGUCGCUGAGGAGGUGAAGAAGAACAACCAUGUAGUAAGAAAGUUGGAGAGAAGAAGAACAACCAUGUAGUAAGAAAGUUGGAGAAGUGUCAACAGAUUUGCACCCUUGACCAACAUUUGGAAGAGCAAUUUGGUGGUGGUCGUCUAUUGGCUUGUAUCUCAUCACGACCUGGACAGUGGCUGUGCUGAUGGGUAUGCGACUUUAUUUGCCUAUGUUUGUUUCUAGUCAGCAGAUUUGUCAUAGGCAUAUUAGUGUAGUUACCUUAUUGCAAGGGCUGAAAUCUGGAUGAUAUCAGCUUCUUUUUAUUGUUGUUUUAAAGUGAGGUAUGUAUGGGUCUUAUGAAAUUUUUACAGAAAUAUAUUGGAGGGCAAAUAAUUUUAUUUUAGUUUUUUAUUCCCAAAUGAUACCCAAAACAUGUAAGCUUCACACUAUGUUAAUUUCUGCAGGAUGGGAAAACAUUGGACAAUGAGUUGGAGGUUGUUGAGGGAAUGAAGCUAGAUAGGGGCUACAUAUCCCCUUAUUUCAUCACCAACCAGAACAAUCAGAAAUGUG